AAGCUGAAAAAAGGCUGUCCAUCCAGUGCGCACAGACUGCCCACAUAGAAGCGUCUGGGCUGGCCAAUACUCCGAGCGAAGAGUUGGAGAAGUCCUCUCAGUCCCAGGCUGAUAUUCAUUCUGUCGUCUCUGUUCAGAACAGUCAGAGUUGUGAAAAAUCCACACAAUCCCUUUCUGGAGAUCAGAAUCUUCCCAGUGUCUCCUCCAUGGAAAGUGAAACACAGCUUGGCAAAAAUCAAGAGAAAACUGUUUUGCUCAAUGCAACCAUGGAGAUGACCUUAAGUGAAGCCACUGAGAUAGUCACUGUGGAAACAAAAGCGAAAAAAAAAGUCAGCUCUGGCAGAAAGGACAAGGAGCAAAGCUGCGGCUCAAGUAUAGAAGUGCAGAAGUCUGUAUCUUUGUUACAGUCACAUAAAAAGCCGCUGAAGGAUCAAAGUACUGUCACUCGCAUCCCUAAACUGGGCAAGCAUCAGAAGGUCAAAUCAAAGGAUAAAGUCAAAUCUUCUGACCGCACUAACAUCACAAAUGUAGACCAAAUGGAUGUGGAAGAUUACUUCUCUGAUCCUAAAAUUAGGUUUUCAAGCACCAGCAGAAGUGUGGCUGACGAAGCAAGUUCCAAAAUAACAUGCAGGAAGUCCAGAGCUAAAGGAAAGAGGGCCUCUUCAGUAACCAGGAAAAGUUUAUUCACUGUGCCGUCUGAUGAAAGUGAGAGCAGCCAAUCCCACCAGGAGAAGGUCCAAAAACCUAAAGCAGGAGAUGAAAGUUUAGAGUCUCAAGUCUCUGAGGACGCUCUGCUUUGUGCACAUCCAGAGUCCCAGCAUGCGGAGCGUCUGUCCUUUAGCAAAACUAAUACUGUGACUAAUUCUAGGGGAGGUCACAAAUCAAGAUGCAGGGAGACAUUUGUUAUCUCAAUAACCAGCGACAGUGACUCACCAGAGCAUGAUGUGGCGCCUCCUACAGGAUCCAGCUUUCAGGCAGAAGCAGCAGUCAUGAAUAAAAGCAUUGUUGGACAUGUAGAAUCAAGCAAUCGUUCAAAGACUCGGCGCUCUGGGAAGCGAUCCUGGGUGGCCACUCAGGACUCUGGGAACUGUCAAGAGGACUCGAGCAGCGGUGACAGUGGUGAAGCACUGCCGCUGGAUUGGCAGGCGGCUUUAGGAUCACAGUUUCAAAAACGUAAAAAAUCCAGGAGAGACAAAACAGGGCAGCCCUACAGGAACAAAGUGGUGCAGCGAGAAGAGGGUGAUGACUUGUUAGAUGACAAGACGAAGAAAAAAGACAACAAAGACUUAAGGUCUGAGAGUGAAACGUGUUAUCCUCCUGACCCUAGAGACGCCUCCGCUCUCUGCCUUGAUUCUGAAAUCGCUAAAGGUCAAUUACAUGAUUUACAAAUGCUCGACUCACAUUCUGCCAUCAGUGAAAAGCAUGAAAUCUUUGAACAUCUGAAUGAUUCGCAGUCCAGGAGGGAUUCGAGUCCCGCAUCAUCUAGAAAUGUAUUCAUGCUGAACACAGCCAUGGAAACCAGAUAUCCCAGGAAGACUUUUGUUGUCUACAGACGAAAAACUAAGAACAGAAGUGGAUGUAGUUCUGAAAACAUCACCAGGAUGUCGAACGCAUCAGACACCUGCAGUCACACGGUGGACACCAGCGAUCAGGCAGUUCAUCAGAAUGUGGGCGACCUGCUGAUGGAUGAGCUGCCGCCGUGGCUGGACGUGGAUAACAGCACAGCUCACAUCACUGUGGACUCUCUGCUCGCCACUCCAAACAGGGAAACACCAGGCAGGCUCGCGACGAUUGGAACGGCUGAAGCCUCUCCAGGCAGAGUCUUAUCAACAGUAACCAACACUUUGACAACACCAGACUGUGAAAAUGGAGAGAGAAGCAGGAGACGGAGACCUGGGAAGGGUGCCGUGAGUUACAAGGAGCCGCCUCUCAACAGCAAAAUAAGGCGUGGAGAUAAAUUCACUGACACCACAUUCCUGAGUUCUCCUGUGUUUAAGGAUGGCCGGAAGAAAAAGAAGAAGACGACGACGACUGUCGACUGAUAAUUUGCCUUUUUUCCAUUUUACUGUUUUUAAAAAUUAUUUUAAGCUGUUUUCUUAUUAAAGUUGUUUGCUAACAUAAUUUUUCUAAAUAUUAGACCGGAAAGUAUUGUGUGUUUUUUAAGUGCUUUACAUUUCAGAUUAAAGUAGAAAUUUGAAGUAUUUGUUCUUGAGUCUUUUCUUCAAGCUGUGUUCUGCUGACACUCAACAAGACAAACUGUUACUAAAAAACUGUUAUAGUCAUUAUCGUUAACUUCUGUAAAGAGAAUUUCCCAAAUCUAGGUUUAAAAAGUAUAUCUUAUCUUUAAUACUAGCACAGGACAAUUGAUGGACUGUUAGGAAUUUGGGUUUUUUGUUUAUGCACAUAUAUCACAUAUAUAGCAUUUAGUAAAAUUUGUUUAAAUGUUUAGUAAUAUCAAACUGGCAUCAAAAAGGAAAAAGAAAAUCCUUUAGAUUGACCUUGAAGGAGAGGGCAGAGAUCAAAUAUGAAAUACUAGUUUGAAUCCUUCUACAGUACUUGUGUUGACAAUGUUUAACACAAGUACAAAGUUACAAGGCUUAGUUAUUGUCAUGAACUGACAAAAAACAAAGUCAUUAAGUUGACCUUGAAGACCUUUGUGGAUGACAGAUUUUAAUGGAUUGUUAACAUGAUCGACACUCCUAUAAAGUUUCAUUAGAAUUUAUUUAAAACUUUUUGAUCUCCCAUGUUUACAGACAGAAUGAUGACAUGCAUGCAUAACCUACUUGGCAGAGACAAUAAGCUUGACCUCAGUCACUACAUUGCUAAAAUGCUGCUGUUUCCUUAAUACUUCAGUACUGGUUUGUAGUCCUCUGAUAUUUUCCUCCUUAUACUUGCAUACAUUUGCGUAAGUACUAAUUUAGCCUUGUAGCAAAGUUACAAUAUGCUAUUAUGUUUUACUCCCCUUGCUGCUAUAUUGAUCGCAAUAGGCACAUUUAUGCACGUCAAUUCUCGCUGUGUUUCUACCUACCCUGCUCCACUUGUUUCCUUGUGAUGUCUGGUUUGGUAAUGAUCAGACUCACAGGUCUGUUGUAAAUUAUUCAGGCCAUGCUGUUCAUCUGAGAAGUCUGCUGGACGUUGCUGUUAAAAGCUUGUGUUCCUCCUAGAAAGGUUAAAGGAUUCAGUGUCGCAUGACUGCAGUCGUCGUUUAGGAUUUUGUAUGAUCGUGUUAGGUGAAGUACUGUAAUCGCCUCUUUUCGACCAGUUGA
rnacentral:lncRNA from 1 species